GACGAACGCUGGCGGCGUGCCUAACACAUGCAAGUCGAGCGGAGACUUACGGAAUGAAGCUUCGGCAGAAUGAAGUAAGUUUUAGCGGCGGACGGGUGAGUAACGCGUGAGCAACCUUUCCCAUUCAGGGGGAUAACACACCGAAAGGUGUACUAAUACCGCAUAAGAUCACAGAGCCACAUGGCUUAGGGAUCAAAGGAGGAAUCCGGAAUGGGGUGGGCUCGCGUCUGAUUAGCUAGUUGGUGAGGUAACGGCCCACCAAGGCGACGAUCAGUAGCCGACCUGAGAGGGUGAUCGGCCACACUGGGACUGAGACACGGCCCAGACUCCUACGGGAGGCAGCAGUGGGGAAUAUUGGGCAAUGGGGGAAACCCUGAUGCAGCAACGCCGCGUGAAGGAUGACGGUCUUCGGAUUGUAAACUUCUUUUCUUAAGGACGAUAGUGACGGUACUUAAGGAAUAAGCCACGGCUAACUACGUG
rnacentral:rRNA from 1 species